UAUAAUUUAAAGUAGGGCCUGCCCACUGAGUAAUUGAAGGGCCGCAGUAUUUUGACUGUGCAAAGGUAGCAUAAUCAUUAGUUUUUUAAUUGAAAGCUUGUAUGAAUGGUUUGAUGAGAAAAUUUCUUUCUAUAUUUAAAUUUUUGAAAAUUUUAUUUUUAAGUUAAAAAGCUUAAAUAUUUUUAAUAGACGAGAAGACCCUAUAGAGUUUGAUUAUUAAUAAUUAUUUUAUAUUUGUAGAAUUUUGAUUUUUUAUAAUAUUAAUAAUUUGAUUGGGGUGAUUGAAAAAUUUGAAAAACUUUUUCUUUUUUAUUACAUAUAUUAAUG
rnacentral:rRNA from 1 species